UGUGAUACCCAGUAAGGAUAAGGACUCACUUGAAGUCUAGAAAGAACAAAUGCUAAGCUUCAGUAUCCUCAUCUAUAUAGUAAGAAUAAUAAUGCCUAUUAAAGAUAGGUGUGGAUUAAAGAUGUCUCCAAUGAGACUCAGCAAUGCUUAGCAUAUUUCAAAGAUUGAAAAAAAUUUAUUGUCUUCCUCAAUCCAUUGCACAGUAGAUAUCAACCUGGAGGUUAAAAAAGGCAAAACUGAUUUAAGACGGGAUUGUGUUGUUUAGUGUUAGGUUAUUUUUCUGGGUACUUCAAUCUAUUCUUAGACUUUAAAUACACCACUUUCUAUAAUAUACUUUAAAUAAAAUGAAUCUGCUUUUGUUUUGAUGAA